CUGCUCUUGUGAUCUUGAUUGACACGAGUGGCACCCUUCUGCAGAAGUAAAUUGCCUAGCUUAGAGAACUUCUGCCUGAGUGCUGGUUUCACUUUGCUGCACCAAGCAUUUAUUCCUAGAACAUUUUUAUAUUCAGCAAUUCUGGGGGCUCAUCCGGGAUCCCCAUUCUCCUUCAAGAAGGGGUCUUCAGUCACCCUACCCAGGGGAGAUGUGUCCCACUGCCCCAUUGUGGUGGCCUCAGGGAGGGGAGAUCAAGACCCACCCGUUGUUAUGAAUAAACUUGGACUCUCAGCAACACGGGGAGGAGAGGCUUGCAGUAUCGUGGCGACCAGCUAAACUCUGUGCACAGACCAAGUCUCCAUCACUCUCUGCUGCCUGGUAACUGGUAUUGGACACCUGGACAUCUGCAUCCCCGAGCCUUGAGAACCCAACACGUGUUCUGGAAUGACUGGCAGUAGCACCCCACCACUCAACCCCCAUAUGAGAAGAAAAAGGCCUCCUGCCUCCUCUUCUUUCACCAGACACUGUGGGCCCACAAUUCCCAUGUGCACCCCAAAGAUCCAAGCCACUAGCUCUCUCUCCACCUCUUGCAGGGUAGACCUUCUCCUUUUUUUUUGGCGGGAGCGGACAGAAUCCCACUCUGUCACCCAGGCUAAAGUGCAGUGGCGCGAUCUCGGCUUUUGUGUUAUACAAGGCUCUUUAUAUCAUGAUUAACACAAUAAGGUGCUUAAUCAUGAGUCUUAAUGUGGCUGCAUCCCACUCCCUAGGCUUCAAGGACAGAAAUUGCAUAUUUUUGAAAAGGUUAUUCUAAUGUACACCUGGGUUUGUGAUCCACUUAUAAGCCCUCAAAACCACUAAUCUGUUCUCCAUAAUUUUGUCAUUUCUGGAAUAUCACAUAAAUGAAAACAUACCAUAUGUAACUCUAUGGGAUUGGCUUUAUUUUUUCACUCAGCAUAAUUUAUCCAGGUUUUUUGUGUUUAC
rnacentral:lncRNA from 1 species